rfam:Schistosoma haematobium scaffold111_64, whole genome shotgun sequence.
GCACUGAUGAGGAGUCUCAUAUUAGGACGAAACAGCUGUCCAGUAC